GCUAUUUCUUCUUUCAUACCUUCAAAGACUGAAAUUCUGUUUUAUGUCUUGGAUUCUUUUGGUGAAGCUUGCCUCUGUAUGUCCUGUUUGAUUAUCUAGAUUUUCAUUACCAGAAUCCAUUAAGUUUGCAUGUUUCAGUGGCAAUUAUUUCCCUUUUCAGGUCUUGAAGAGAUUCAUUCAUUUCCUUCAACUGAUUGUUUUUUUAAUGAGAUUUUAUUAUUCUUUCACUGCUUUCUUUAAGGAUUUAUUCACUUCCUUUUUCAGGUCUAUCAUCUUUAUAAAAUUGAUGUUAACCCAAUUGUGCUUCAUCUGUGUUGGAAUAUUCAUGACUUGGUGCAGUAGGAUAGCUAGAAUCUGAUAGCAACAUUACUCUGGUUGUUGCUGAUUUUGUUCUUAUGCUGGUUUUAAGCUGAUUGUGGCUCUAUAUGUCUAUUUCUCAGUUUGUCUUUGUUGGAUGGGUCUUUUAUUCCUUGGUUUCUAUUUCCUCUCUGAUCUUCUGUUCUGGGUCGUCUAUGCUCUGCUGGUGAGCAUCUCAUCUCCUCUGUCUUGGAGAGAAAUGCAAUCUGACCAGCCUGAAGUAAAGAACCUUUUUCCUUUGCAUCAGAACUGUCAAUUCCUUAGGUUGGUCUCUGGGAACCCGUAAACCUGGCACAACAGUAUUAUGCUUUGUUCUCUGUCAAAAUAUCUCCCAGAUUCCAUAUGGUAUUUCCACACCAUACAGGCUAAUGCUUUAAAAUAAGGAUUUAACACUUUGGCUGGGGAAACAGCAUGAACUUCCCAUGGUUUUGUAUUGUGAAUAUAACAUCUGCUGAUGCCAGACUAUACUUUCUAACACCUGACCUUGUUACCUUCCUUAGUCAACCCCCCAGGUGAAUUGGGAUCACUAUUUUCUUUUAGAACCUUUUUUAAAGGACACAACCAUUGAAUAUUUCCCAACAAUUUUUGAAAAAUCGCUUAAAAGAUUGUCAGAUUGUAAGUUAUCUUUUUUAAUUUUUUAAAUUGAGGUUUAAUUUUUAUUAGACUAUAACAUAUGUCCCAAGUAUGGUUUAAUUUUUAUUAGAAUAUAACAAAUGUCCCAAAUAACUUGAAAAAUCACUCAAAAUUUGCAAGUAGUCUUUUUGGAUCCAACCAUUAAGCCUCUCACUAGCUGACAAGGCCUCGUUUGCAUCUUAGCUGACAUGCUCUAAUUUGCAUUUACACAGACACCUUUGUGGGUGGGGCCUGACGAAGAGGCAGUUCUUUGAAAAAACUUUUUUUUAAAUCAUGUAUUAACUUUAUUUGCUAGAUUAUCUUUUUUGUUAACCAUAAAAAAUUUAGGAGGAUCUCUGUAUCCUCUCGUUUUAAACUUCAUAGAAUAAUCCAUACAUAUUUUCUUGGCUCCUAGGCUAUGCCGUAAGCUUCUGGUGUUUUCUAUUGAUUGGCUCUGAAGGCUUAAAUCUUUCAUCUUUCCUGUUAAGACACUGACCUGACUGGCUGGAUGCUGCUUUUGGCCCUAUCUAAAGCAAUUUAGGUAGCUUUUUAACUAUAUUCAAAGUGAUUUAAGUAUCCUUUUAAUCAUAUCCAAGGCAAUUAGAACAGUUGCUUUCAUCAACAUUCACGCAUUUACACGUCACAUUCCAUAUAUACUGGCAUGACCACGCCUAUACACCCAGAUCAUAUACACAUCUCUUUCAUCUAUCCUCUUGCUUAGGUUCUUAAUUGAAGUCUCUUGCUAUAGCCAUAUAGUUGAAUUAUGAGCAUCCAAAAUCUGAACAAAUCCAAAUUUAUCCAUGUAGUCUUUUUUCUAUAAGGUCUUAAAACAGUUUCUGACUGGCUGUAUUAAUAGCAUUUCUAUACAUUUGUCUGGGCGUCAGCCAUGGCAGCAGCUCUCAAGGCUGUGAGCUUCCUAGGCUCUGGCUCUGACCUUCCUCGCCCCUGGCCUUUGGGCCUGGGCUGGCCUGCUGUAGGUUACCUGCUGCCGUUUUUCUCUCCUGCACCCUGGACUUUUUUAAGUUCCUGCCAGUCUGACAUCCGAACAAACCUUUAACAGACUCAUUUGUGCCGCCUUCCUUUCUACAAGGUCUUAGCAUGGCCUGGCAUGCGGUAUUAGCAUUUUCAUAAGCUAGCUGUCUCAAUCAAAAGGUUCAUACCUGUACUCCCCUUAGAUGAUGUUUGUAUUAGCCUACAGACAAAAUUUUGAACUAACUCCUUAGUUCCUUGCUUGCUUUUUCCAAAACCUCCAGCCCGAGUCCUGGUGGCUGAAAGUCUGUUUUGAGUUCUCCUGGCUGCUGGGCUAAUCUGCCCGUACCCUGCUAUCAAGAGUUAGCUGCUGAUCUAUAUCUUUGUAUUGCCCUUCCUCAACGAGCACUUUAUAACAAAAGGGAAGGUUUGGGGCUCUCUCUUUUUUGUUUUGUUUUGUUUGUUGCUUCCCCAGCACUAACCUAUACUGGAGACACCGACCUGCCAGCUGCCGGCCAUGACCCGAGGGGUGCCUUCCCCUAGGCUGAUCUGUGCUUGCUUCUUCCUUUGACAAAGGAACAUUUCUCUGAUCUGAGGAACCUUGAAAAGUUCUUAUCUCUCGUGAGAGUGAUUUUGCUAAAUCUUUCAAGUCUCCUACCUUUGCUGAAUUUUACCACUAGGUUUCUGCCUCUCUGUGUUUCUAGUUAAAAAUGAGGGACGUGAAGACUCUUGUCCUGAUACUUAAUAACUUUCUUUUUAUAAUCAUUUUAAUCUCUCUGCCUGUAUGUUCUUUUUGGUCUGGCCCCUCCUCAGUAGGUGUGGAGGUCUCCGCUAACCGCUUCAGAGGAAAAUAAUUUCCUGUUGUUCUGCAAGUAUGCGAGGUAGCACCUUCGCUUCCCUAAAAAUUGGCGCAGCAUCUUUGAUACUGCUGCAGCAGUGGCGUCUGUGAGAGGGGAAAGAGUCUUUUAAAACUUUUAAAUUCCAAAAUCCUCUGCAGUUUUGCUUCAGUUUAGCUCUCCUGGCUAUCAAAACACACACAAGUAAAUAUACAAUCAUCUGAACAACAAUUUUUGUCUUAUACAUUCCCUUAAUAAUCUUGAAGGCAGUCACCACCUUUUAUUUAUUUAUCUGUUUAUUUAUUUCGCGUCCCCUAGGGACAAACAUCUCCCCUAUAAGUUACAACCUCCAUGUUCCUUGUAAGAAUUGUUUAAGACCCUUCUUUUUUACACUAAUUCCUUGUAUCUUCAGGGCUUCCUUGAGCCCGAAAAUAGAGACUUUUGAGAGGAUACCUGUCCCAUCACUUACAUUGGCUGUAAUAAUUGCACCAUUGCUCACCACCAUCCGUCUUGCUCUUUUCGCGAAGAUAGGUACAGAACUGGAUUGAAUGCAUAACUCUUUGUAGGAACUUCAGUAAAAGCCUCUGACUUCCUUUUCUCCUUUGUAUUUCUUUGACUGAUUGUUUCAUGGGAGACAAUAUGUACUUCUGUCUGUCCUGGAGACCUGAUUGCAUAGACUAGGCUGACAUUCAACUCAGAGGCAAAUGUACCUGCCUCUGUCUUCUGAGUGCUGGUGGUAAAGGUGUUGGCCAAUACACCCAGUUUGUCCAUCUUACUUUCCUUUUUAUAGGUAGUAAUUGUUCAUGCAGUUCUCUCAUAUGUACUCUUUACUGUUGAUCUGUCUAAUUCUCUCUUUCUGAUUGUUAAUAGGCAUUUCUCUUGCAAGGUGAUAUCCUGUUCAAAGGAUACUAAAAUGACAGAGGUGACCAUGCUAUUCACUUUCCUUCUAAAGUGACUUGGUGAUUACAUUAUAAUGUCUGUAUAAUAGAAUAAGUAUGGAGUGCAUAAGAAUUAUAUGACUAUGCUGUCAAAGAAGUAUACAUUUACAAUAUUGCAAAUAUCAUGUUUUCUGUUGUACAUAUGUCCGGGAUAUUUUAGAAUUCAGUGACCUAUGAUGAUGUGCAUGUUGCCUUCACUUGGGAAGAGUGGACUUUGCUGGACUCUUCCCAGAAGAAUCUCUACCAAAAUGUGAUGUUUGAGACCUACAUGAACCUCACUACUAUAGGAUACAAAUGGGAAGACCAUAAUAUGGAAGAACACUGUCAAAGUUCUAAAAGACAUGAAAGAGGGAUGCAGAAUCACCAUGAAAGUGGCAUGGCAAGUAGUGUCAGAAUGGAAGCUAUAGCAGCAGGCUAAGAACUCACACCCUCAACCUGCAGCAUGAAGCAGAGUGGGAACUGGAAAUGGUGUUUGGAUGCAAAUUCUCAAUGCCUACCCCCAGGGACAUAUUUCAUCCAGAAGGGCAUCAUUUCCUAAAUCUCCCCAAAUGAUACCAUCAACUUAGACCUCAAGCCUAUAUGCUUGUUUUCAGUUACAUAUACCAAUCCACAAUGAAGAAAAACUCUAAGUAAGCUGUCAGAUACCUCAACACCUGUGUUACAGGAAUGAAUGGUUACAAUAGAAAAACUUUCAUGAUUGAAAAA